rnacentral:rRNA from 1 species
AUGUACAAUCUUAUUGACCGAGCAGAGUGGCGGAGCCAUGAACACCAUGUGGCUGAGCUCCUUCCGAGACUCAAGGACGCCGUGUAUAAUGCGGAUGACCUUCUUGAUGAGUUUAGGUGGUAUGAGAUGAAGGCUGAAUUGGAGGGCAACACAAGCAAGUCUCCUUUUAGUGACUUCAUUGGUACUCUCAUUCAUGGCAGCUUUGACAAAUUGAAGGAUGUCCGAGAAAGGAUGGAGCAUCUUUCUCGCCAGUUGAAGAGGAUGGGGUUGCAUAAAGUUAUGCAACGAUUUGACAAAUCAGUUAGGCCGGAGACUACCGCUAUGCCAGAUGAAGCAAAAAUAUUUGGUCGUGCUGAGGAGCUAAAGCAAGUGAUGGAAUUUCUCAAUGUCCCGACAAAUGCAAAACGCAAGAGAGCAAAAAGUUUAGCCAAUGCAUCAACAAGCUCAUCAGCAAACAACCAAGUUAGUAAGGAAUCAAGAAUAACAUAUCUUCCUGUUUUGCCAAUAGUUGGAAUUGGUGGUGUUGGAAAGACUACUUUGGCCCAACAUAUCUGCAGUGAUCAACAAGUGAAGUCUCACUUUGGCCUGGUAAUUUGGAUUUGUGUCUCGGAUGACUUCAACGUGAAAAGAUUAAUCAAAGAGGUUAUACAAUCAUGUCCUAGAAAAGAGGCAACAUAUGAUAGUGGAAAAGAUGCACCGGCUGAUAAUCUCAAUUCUCUUCAGCUUGCUCUUUCUAAGCAUGUAAACAAUCAAAGGGUCUUGAUUGUCCUUGAUGAUAUAUGGGAUGAUUCUUUGAAGGAAAAUAGGCAGUGCUGGAAUAGAUUUUGUGCACCUCUAAAAAGCGCCCAAGAGGGAAGCAUGAUGUUGGUCACCACUCGAUGUCCAAAUGUUGCUCAGGGAGUGGGCACAGUGAAGCCUAUUAUAUUAGUAGGGUUGAAAGAUGAUGUCUUCUGGAAUUUCUUCAAAUUAUGUGUUUUUGGGUCUGAAAGUUCUAGCAAUAAUCCAAAGUUAGAACUCAUUGGUAGAAGCAUACUUCCUAAAUUGAAGGGUUCUCCAUUAGCCGCCAAAACUCUUGGACGCAUGUUAAGAAUGGACCUUCAAGAAACACAUUGGGAGAGUAUACUUCAUAGUGAAUUGUGGGACUGA